rnacentral:rRNA from 1 species
CCUACGGGUGGCAGCAGUGGGGGAUAUUGCACAAUGGGCGCAAGCCUGAUGCAGCGACGCCGCGUGAGGGAUGACGGCUUUCGGGUUGUAAACCUCUUUCGACACGGAACAAGGCUCUGCUUUUGUGGGGUUGAGGGUACGUGUAUAAGAAGCGCCGGCUAACUACGUGCCAGCAGCCGCGGUAAUACGUAGGGCGCGAGCGUUGUCCGGAAUUAUUGGGCGUAAAGAGCUCGUAGGCGGCUUGUCGCGUCUGCUGUGAAAAUGCGGGGCUUAAC